UACGGGGGGGGCAAGCGUUGUUCGGAAUUACUGGGCGUAAAGGGCUCGUAGGUGGCCAACUAAGUCAGACGUGAAAUCCCUCGGCUUAACCGGGGAACUGCAUCUGAUACUGGAUGGCUUGAGUUUGGGAGAGGGAUGCGGAAUUCCAGGUGUAGCGGUGAAAUGCGUAGAUAUCUGGAGGAACACCGGUGGCGAAGGCGGCAUCCUGGAUCACUUCUGACGCUGAGGCGCGAAAGCCAGGGGAGCAAACGGG
rnacentral:rRNA from 1 species